rnacentral:lncRNA from 1 species
GUUUCAAGGAAGCCUGUGCCAUUAACUUGUGCAUUACUUUACAGACUAUCUCGCUGUUCUGUCUUUCAGUAUAUCGGUAGCUUGGAUGUACCGAGGCCCAACAGCCGCGUGGAGAUUGUGGCAGCCAUGAGGAGGAUUCGGUACGAGUUCAAAGCCAAGAACAUUAAGAAGAAGAAAGUGAGCAUCAUUGUCUCCGUGGACGGCGUGAAAGUGAUUCUGCGCAAGAAACAGAAGAGAAAGGAAUGGACCUGGGACGAGAGUAAGAUGGUAGUGAUGCACGAUCCUGUGUACAGGUAUGCAGCAGGGGAUUUACACCAGCUAGAUCCAAGGCAAUUAAUCAAACCAGAGGGGAUGCAUUUCCAUGCUUCUGCUUGCUGAGUUAUCACCACCAAGAAGCGUGGCUUUUCCAACGGCCCGUGAAAAAUUAAUGAGGUGACAAAAUUCCUGCAG